AGAGAGGAGCCAGGGAGAAAACGUGUCUUUUGUUUCGUCUUUGCUGGAGGCGUGGGUGCACAGCGAAGGGCCUGGAUGCAGAACAAAGGGAAUUCUGGAUGGAGACUCAGACCCAGGGUCCGGUCAGCCUGACCCCCAAGACUAUGCUGAGGUCACAGCCUCCCAAGGGGCUCAGCCUGGGAAGCCCUUCUGGGACUCAGUUCACAGGCACAGACUGACUUUCUCCUCCUGAGUCCCCUCCCUUCUGCCUACUCGAUAGCUUCCCAGUGUUAUUAAGUUAUAGGAAAGCAAGAGGAGGAUAGAAGGAGAGAAAGAAGGGAAGAGGAAUGAGGGAGAGAAGGAAGUGCGGAAGGGAAGGGAGGCCAGGAGGCCACCUGGGAGGAGACUGAGGGCUGCGCUGGAGCUGGAGUACAGUAUGAAGAGGGGCAUUAACGGACGGCUUUCUGUCUCCAAGUCCCGCCUGAGCACACAAAGCAUCUGCUCUCAUGCUCUCAAGAAAGGAACUGAUAAACUCAGCCCCUGAGGUGAAACAGGAAGUGCCCAUGCUGGAAACAAGACUCGUGUCCUGGCAAUGCAGGACAGGCUGGCCUUGAAUUUGCAAUCCUCCUGCCUCGGCCUCCCAGAGUACUGGCAUUACAGGCUUGUUUAUACCACAGGUUCUGGGAGGAGGCGAGACGUCCAGGAGCUCAGAUGUCACCACAGAUGCAGGGCACAGUGACAUCUGGAGGCCAGAGCCACCCUGUGGAUGCCAGAGGCCCCCAGAAGGACAAAACCCACAGACCUUUCCUUUCCCUUUGCUGCUAAGUGGCAGAGACUGGCUCUUGCUACAGCUGCAGACUAGGACACGUUCUUCUUCCUUGAGUCCCUGACACACUGCCAGCUGCCAGGCAGCACAGAUGCCCAGUCUGUUUCCUCCCAGGCUGGCCUCACUGGCCCCCUGGUGUGGCUUCCCUAGCUGGCACUGGCCUGCACCUUCCGAAGCCCGGGCUUCUCCAGGUGACUACCAGAUCCUCACCCUCACCGAGGCCUCACCCCGCCCAGGUGAACCCCCUUUCCAUGGCACACACAUCCUGCACAGUCACACUCAGGCCAAGCUGGCUCUGGUGACACAGACUCCAUACUCCAGGUACUCGUACUCCUGGACAAGGAAAGGGACUGACCAUUGUGCAGCUCCAGGGCAGAGGGCACCCAGUGCCACGUGUACCCACCUGGGGUGGGGAGAGAGGCCUCGCUCAGCCUCAGCAAGGGGCUCUCAAGGCGGGCUUUCCAGAUUAUGUGAACAGAUGCCACCCUCUGAGCAGAAGGAGGGGUUCACUAGACAAGGACAUGGUGUUCCUGCCAGGCUCCCGCCCUGAAAUGGUGCAUGGCUUGGGGUCUGGGGCUAUACGGUAAGAGACCCAAACCCCUCACUCUUCAGGGCACGCCCCUCUUGGUAGACAAAGGGGAGGAUAUAUGCACCCCUGGCUCUCAUCCUGGAGUGGUGUGUCUGGAAUCCCCAAGAGUUCUGAGGAUGAAGGAGCUUUGGGGGAGCCCAGUGUGGGUUUCCUAACCUCUGCUUGUGAGUUACCACACUGAACAGAAAAGGUGUUUAUACAGAGGUCUGCACUGUGGUUUCGGGUUGGUGGCAACUAUUUUGGAGGCUCCAAGUAGGAUCAGAUCUUCUCCAUCCAUCCCUAAAUGGAAGUCAUGGAGCCUCAGCUGUGCUGUCAGGAACAUGGUGUAAGCAUCUACAUACUUAAUAGCUGGGCCUGUGAGUCAAGGGUCACCUUGCGUGCACUCUGGCCAUGGCACUGCUCUGCAGUGCAUCGAGCUGAGUCUACCCUUCCCAUGUGCAGGAAGCCGUCUCCAAUGAGUGCUUAGCCUGGUUAGGGGAGAACCAGGCCAUCAAUUCUAAGUCUGUCUCCAGCUCUAAUUCUCUUUCUUUGGUGUUUUGAGACAGUUUCUUCCUAGGUAGUUCAGGCUGGCCUUGCAUUCACUGUAUAACUCAGGCUGGCCUCAAACUCAUGACAAUCCUCUGUCACAGGCUCCCAACACUGAGGUUACAGGUGGGCUGCACCACACCUGGCUGGAGAUCUAAUUUUCUAUGAAUCUAGGUCGCCCUCUCUCUUACAGGGUUUGAUCAUUGUUCCAUGAGCUGUUUUCCCUGGGAUGAGAUUUAUAGCUGAAAACCUAGGUUGUGGAAUUUGUCCUGGGUUACUGGAUUUACCUUCUCCCUGCAGACUUUUCUCCUGUGUUUACAAAACAUAUGGCCCAAAGUAGGAGUGAACAGAAUAUUGCCAUCCCUCAGUGCCCAUCUCAAAAUUUUACCAAAACAGAGCGGAAAAUUACUCCCAGAAAAUUUUAUUCUUUGACUUCAGAUGCACGAUGCCAACUAAUCAAAAGACAACUAAAACAUUUCAACUAAAAACUCAAAAUCUUCCUUACUCCGGAUACUUGCCAUCUCAGAGGAGUCCAGAGGCUUUGAAUCAGAGUGGAGCUAAGUCCACUAUCAUUCCAUAAACUUGCUGCCUCCUUCAUGUUGGGCUGAGCAGUGCUCCCACGUGCAGCCACUAAAUUCCCUAAGUUUUCAGAAAACUCUGAGACUGAACAAGGAUUGGGAUUCUGCUCAAGGAUUGGGAACCAGCCUCUACCAGAUACCGAGCUCACUCACAUGUGCCCUGGUCCAAGAGAAGCUGUGGGCAGAAUCACUUAGAGCCACACCACCAGUGUGCCUGGCUGCAUGGGCCUGCACAAGCCCUGAGUUCUGCUGCUAGCACAGGAGCCCCAAAAAGGGACCCAGAGUCCUGCGCUGGGGAGCCUGGUGGCUGUGUUGCCUGUCACAGGCUGCAAUGCAGGGCAGGUGCUGGGAGUCUGGUAAGAGGCACAGAAUAAAUGGGGAGCUGGUGGGCACAGGGGGGCCUGGGGACAGGGCAAGACUCACAGGCCCAGGCUGAUCUCAGAAGUCCUCAGCAGAGUACACUGGUGGGUGGGAAGAAGCUGUUCAUGUCUGGGUGGUCCUGGCAUCCCAGCAGCACCCUGGCCUGACUGCUCUCGCAGGAGGCACGCCCCAGCACCCCUGGGGACCACUGUGACUGACCCAGGUCUGCACCCAGCAUGAGCCUGGCCCACACCCAAGGAAGGCUAGGAAGUCACCUUCGGGGGCUCCAGUUGCAGCUAUCCUACACAGACACACACAUACACGCACACGCACACACACACACUUUGUCACCCAUCAGCCCCAGGAGACUAUAUUAUUCCAAAUACUAUAUUAUUCCAAAUCUGCUACCAAACAAAUCACUGCUGCCACACUUUUUCAUGCCCUAGUUCAUCAUUAGUUACCGAGGAGCUCAGCAUAUUUUCCUGCUUCUCUCCCUUUUUAUGAGGUUAAAAAAGCGAGAGAAAAUACCAGAAGCAUCCAGAGAGGCUGCCCAGGCUCCUGCUGAGUGCCUUGGGAUAAAAGACAUCGAUGCUAUUUUUUCCCUGGAGUAGAAAAGGCCUUAAGGAGGACAGCAGCCUGGAUCAACGCCCCUGGAGAGAAAGCCAGCACAAACCAACCGGUGGCGUUUUUUCUACCCAGACUCCAAGUGGGAAUGCCAGGCGGCUGAAAGCCAGGCUGCUCUUUCCUGGUGCUUCCUUCCCACUGGAUCGUCAGGUUCCGGAGGGGAGGGAUCCCCAGCAUCCCAGCCUUGGUUGCUUCACUGGCUCCCGGUUCCCUGGAGAGGCCACAGCAGGCCUCACCCUCCAGGACACUGUGGCUCCAGCCCGGUCUGCACCCAGCACUGCCCGCUGUCUGCAGAGGCUCUGCGGGGCACUGCUGCAACUUCCCAAAGCCUGCAUGUGAGCAGAGGCUCCUUCCCCCUCUUGGCUUUCCUGGCCACCACACCCCUCAGAUCACCUCAGCACAGCGAAUACAGAAAGAACUCCCACCAGUCCUCCCAGACUCAGUGGCACAGCCACCCCUUCUUUGGCUCCCUCUGCCUGAAAUUGUUAAAGAGACAGAAGAGGGGACAGCGCCCAAAAAGCACAGAUCCCGACUCACCACAGACUCCACUGCUCAGCUGCUCAGGCUCCCUCUGCUCUGUGCCUGCUGCUCUUAAGGUCCCGGUGGGAGGCUGGGUGAUGGUGGGGCGGGAUCAACGAGGGAGGGUGCCUAGUGGACAGGACUUGCUCGGAGGGGGAGCAGCCAUCUGGCUUGGCCUGGCGCCCGCUGGAUUAUUCACAGCCCUGAUGUCAUUGGAUCACAGGAACCAGGGACCGGAUGGGGGCCUGAGGAAUCUUCUUUAGAAUCCUGCACUCAGACUAAGAGGGACUC